GACGAACGCUGGCGGCGUGCUUAACACAUGCAAGUCGAGCGGAAAGGCCCUUUCGGGGGUACUCGAGCGGCGAACGGGUGAGUAACACGUGAGUAAUCUGCCCCUGGCUUUGGGAUAGCCACUGGAAACGGUGAUUAAUACCGGAUACGACCACUUCUCGCAUGGGAUGGUGGUGGAAAGUUUUUCGGCCAGGGAUGUGCUCGCGGCCUAUCAGCUUGAUGGUGAGGUAACGGCUCACCAUGGCUUCGACGGGUAGCCGGCCUGGGAGGGUGAGCGGUCACGCUGGGACUGAGACACGGCCCAGAAUCCUACGGGAGGCAGCAGUGGGGAAUAUUGGACAAUGGGCGGAAGCCUGAUCCAGCAACGCCGCGUGAGGGAUGACGGCCUUCGGGUUGUAAACCUCUUUCAGCAGGGACGAAGCGCAAGUGACGGUACCUGCAGAAGAAGCACCGGCCAACUACGUGCCAGCCGCCGCGGUAA
rnacentral:rRNA from 1 species